rnacentral:lncRNA from 1 species
AAUAAUUGAACUAGAAGUUGAGAACAAACAAAAAGAGAAGAGAAAAAAAAGAUCAACUAAAUUGGAAUACAAGUUGAUUUCAUUAUUGUCUCUAAUCCCGAUCCAAAUAAAUUGACUAAAAAAGUUGAACACAACUUAUAUAACAGUUUGUUGAUCCAAAAAGAAAAAAGUAAAAUACCACGUGAUUCGGAGGUAUAUUAAGUUGAAUCCAAUCUCACUUGAUCAUAUAUGAAGUUAUGAACAGGCAAUAUUGUUAAACCGUAGAUGGCUGACUUGACUUGGUCCAAGUCGCCUUAACAACCAGUUGUUUUUCUAUGCCCUUAUCCUUAUGCGUUGCAUGGAAGGUACGUAACUGAUGCAUGGAAGAGUCAAAAAGUGAAAGAUUCCAUGUGGUCGGGAUAACGAACUGGCAUCGUCCACGUCUGCAUGCGAUAUAUUAAGGCAAACCCAACGAUUACUCUUAUCACUUCCUGCAUCCAGCUUGCAGUCGUCAAAUUUGUAUGGCCUGAAUUGAAGCACUUAUCCCAUUUCCCUCGCUAGUUGCCACUGAUGAGACCAUGACUUCGACCUAGUUUGACCGCUAGCUCAACUUGUGCAAAAAGGUUUCUUGUCUCACCGUGACGUCGGUCAUUGGUCUAUAGUAACGUCGAUCUUCAGUCGAUCUGUCACUGCCGCCACCUGUAACCGGAAGACUUUGCCUGAAAAUUUUCCGUGAUCGUCGAAAUAACUGUGAAGUUAUUUCGACAACUUAAGUGUCGUUUUUGUCCAAAGGUCCCUCUCAUUAUGCUUCUACUCAAACUUGCCAACACGGUUUAGACUAACAUGAUUGGUUUUGGCUGCUAAUGAUUCUAAGGUUAAUUAAAACUAACUGUUCAAAGAUUGAUUCAAAGAGAGAAAACAAGUUCUUGGAAGAGAUGAGUCAUCAACCUCAACUUCCUAAACGCAUUCGAAAUGAACAAAUGUUGGACUUGGAUUGAAUAAAAUGAAUCCUCCUAUCACUCGUAUGAAUCUGUGGCACGAUCAUGCACGCGGAUUACCAUUACUAACUUCCCAAUUAAGGUAGAAAUAACCUUAACGGUAUGAACACCGAGAAGUUCUACAAAGUGAUAAGAUGUUCUUCCGGAAUUAAAAGAAAUCACGAGUAAUCAGAAAUAGCGUUAACUUGGUCCAUCAACGCCUAAACUACUGAUAACUACACCCAACUUGGUCCAUUGGGUGCAAACCAGAGCGCCCGCCAAUUGCAAGAUGAAUAACUUUUAAAACUACAAGAAACACAAAAGGUAGAAUUGGGUUACCGGCUUACCCCACCGAUAACUUUCAUCUAUCUUUGACUGUUAAUCUUAUGAAUUCCUAAGUCUAUCAAACAAAGGAUUUCAUAAAUUUGACCAACAGUCGGAGCAAACUUUCAUUAAAAUCCAAUUAUCCACAAUUAUCGUUUCUAAAUGUUCAAGAUAGGUAUCAUGCCUCAAAUCCUACAUCUCAACCAAGAAACUCUACAGACUUAGCUACUCAUAACUCUACAAGAGGACAAAUCAAAAGAAACCCUAACCAUCAUCUUGUUGAAGAGAUAACGGCUUGUUCUUCCUCCAAUCGUUGCUUUUAGUCUUCUAGCUUCAAUCCUAACUUCAAUCUUUAAUAGCAACUCCUUUGGAUCUUCAAUUGAGCUUCUAGGGAAGGUUUUGUGCUGGUUUUGCAGAGAAGAGUCGGGAAAAAUCGAGAGAAAAUGAGUUUUGGGGAAUUAUGUCCUCUUUCCUCAAAAUCU